rnacentral:rRNA from 1 species
UACGGAGGAUGCGAGCGUUAUCCGGAUUUAUUGGGUUUAAAGGGUGCGUAGGCGGACGCUUAAGUCAGCGGUAAAAUUGCGGGGCUCAACCUCGUCGAGCCGUUGAAACUGGGUGCCUUGAGUGGGCGAGAAGUACGCGGAAUGUGUGGUGUAGCGGUGAAAUGCAUAGAUAUCACGCAGAACUCCGAUUGCGAAGGCAGCGUACCGGCGCCCUACUGACGCUGAAGCACGAAGGCGUGGGUAUCGAACAGG